rnacentral:misc_RNA from 1 species
UACGGAGGGUGCGAGCGUUAAUCGGAACUACUGGGCGUAAAGGGCUCGUAGGCGGUUUGUUAAGCAAGAUGUGAGAGCCCAGGGCUCAACCUUGGAAUUGCAUUUUGAACUGGCAAGCUAGAGUUUUGAAGAGGGUGGUAGAAUUUCCAGUGUAGCGGUGAAAUGCGUAGAUAUUGGAAGGAAUACCAGUGGCGAAAGCGGCCACCUGGUCAAAAACUGACGCUGAGGCGCGAAAGCGUGGGGAGCAAACAGG